GUUAUAUAAGUAUUUAGGUAUGUUUGAUUUCCAAUUAAAAGGAGGAUUAAUAAUA
rnacentral:tRNA from 1 species